CCAAUAGCGUAUAUUAAAGUUGUUGCAGUUAAAAAGCUCGUAGUUGAAUUUCGGGAUCAAUUUGCUGGUCGUGCCUCUGGUACGUACUGGUAUUAUUGGUUUCUCCCUUCUGACGAACCAUGAUGUCAUUAAUUUGAUGUCGUGGAGAAUCAGGACUGUUACUUUGAAAAAAUUAGAGUGUUUAAAGCAGGCAUUAGCUUGAAUACAUUAGCAUGGAAUAAUGAAAUAGGACGUUUGAUCCUAUUUUGUUGGUUUCUAGGAUUGACGUAAUGAUUAAUAGGGAUAGUUGGGUGCAUUAGUAUUCAAUUGUCAGAGGUGAAAUUCUUGGAUUUAUUGAAGACUAACUACUGCGAAAGCAUUUGCCAAGGAUGUUUUCAUUAAUCAAGAACGAAAGUUAGGGGAUCGAAGACGAUCAGAUACCGUCGUAGUCUUAACCAUAAACUAUGCCGACUAGGGAUCGGAUGAUGUUAAUUUUUUAAUGACUCAUUCGGCGCCUUACG
rnacentral:rRNA from 1 species